rnacentral:rRNA from 1 species
AUGAGUGCAACCACUUUCCGAUAUCUUAUAUCUUUGGCAGUGCAAAAUCGUCUAUCUAUGCAGUUGAUGGACGUCGUGACCGCAUAUCUUUACGGGUCACUAGAUUCGGACAUAUAUAUGAAGGUUCCUGAUGGAAUCUCUGUCCCGAAUGAAAAUGCAAAACACAACAUGUAUUGUGUAAAGCUGAAUAAGUCAUUAUAUGGCUUAAGGCAGUCGGGGCGGAUGUGGUACAACCGACUCAGUGAGUUCCUUCUUCAGAAAGGUUACUCCAAUAGUGCUGAUUGCCCAUGUGUUUUCAUCAAGAAGUCCUCGACGGGAUUUUGCAUCAUUUCCGUGUAUGUUGAUGAUCUCAACAUCAUUGGCAGCACACCAGACAUUGAUGAAGCACGCAAUCACCUAAAGAUGAAAUUUGAGAUGAAGGAUUUGGGUAAAACCAAAUUUUGCUUAGGUAUUCAACUUGAGCACCUUCCCUCAGGUAUCAUGGUACACCAAGCUGCCUAUAUCCAGAAAAUAUUGGAAAAAUUCAAUAUGGACAAAUCCUAUCCAUCUAAAACUCCUAUGGUGGUUCGAUCUCUAGACGUAGAGAAAGAUCCGUUCAGACCGAGGGAUGAUGGAGAAGAGGUGUUGGGAUCUGGAGUUCCAUACCUCAGUGCCAUUGGAGCGCUUAUGUAUCUUGCAAAUUGCACAAGACCUGAUAUUGCAUUUGCAGUAAAUCUACUUGCUAGACAUAGCGCAACUCCCACUAAACGUCAUUGGUCUGGAGUGAAGAAUAUCUUUCGAUAUCUCCAAGGCACAAAGGAUCUUGGCCUAUUUUACCAGUUCCAGAGAAAUCUGGACUCUGGUAUGAUUGGAUAUGCAGAUGCCGGUUAUUUGUCUGAUCCCCACAAUGCCAGAUCUCAAACCGGUUUUGUGUUCCUACAUGGUGGUACUGCUAUAUCAUGGAAGUCUUCAAAGCAGACUCUGGUGGCAACAUCUACCAAUCAUUCUGAAAUAAUUUCAUUAUUUGAAGCGACAUGCGAAUGUGUAUGGCUUCGCAGAAUGAUAAACCACAUACAACAGUCAUGUGGAAUUGGUUCGAUAAAAUCACCUACCAUUAUCUAUGAAGAUAAUGCGGCCUGUGUUGCACAGAUGCAAACAGGAUACAUCAAGAGCAAUAUCACCAAGCAUAUUUCUCCUAAAUGGUUUUUCCCCCAUAAUCUUCAGAAAAGCGGAGAAAUAAACAUUCUGCAAGUCAAAUCAUGCGACAACCUUGCUGAUUUAUUUACCAAGUCUCUACCAAAUUCAACGUUCCAAAAAUAUGUUCAUGGCAUUGGUAUGAGAAGACUCCGGGACUUGCAAACGUCAGGGGGAGUCUCUUCUUGA